ensembl:lncRNA
UGCGCAUUGCAGCAUGUCAAUUUAAGAUUAAAUGCAUGAUUUAUUUUCUUACAGUAAAUUCUCUGUAAAAAACCAACAAAAAAAAAUGUAUAAAAAACAAAGAAAAACAUUGAAAAAGAUAAAACACUUGAGAUAGAGAAAUGUAUAUUCUUCAAGGUAGCUUCCCCUUCAAAAUAACUGAAAGGGAUAAUUCUUUGUGUCAUACACCUUGUGGUCAUACAUUAGACCUGACCUGGAUCCUAGGGCAUGGUUUCUGACCUUGAGGGAGAUCAAUCGUAACAAUAUUUUCUCUCACUCACCCCCCAUCCCUCAAAAAUAUUACAAACUAUAGAUGUAUCAAAGUCAAACCAAGCGAUUGUUCAACACUUAAAAAUAAGUAUUUUGACACAGAUUCAGGAUAAGUUUACCCACUCCAAAUCCUAAUAUAAACCAUUAGUCAGGCGGAAUGACCAUAAAUCAGUGUCAGGGGCCCUCUAUUCUGAAUUAGCCUUGCCCCAGAUCCACAGACUCUGAAUGAACCAGUGUCUAUUCCUGCAUCCAGCAACAUGCAUAAAGAUUCCAACAGAGAAAACAAGUACACUUAAACAAAAAAGACACCGACACCGUAUCUGCAGUGAGGGCCAAGGAGGAGGAACAUGAGAAAGGAGUGAGAAAUGGGGGAGGCAGGAAACAGACAAAACAUCUCUGCUAGUUGCCGGGUGCUGUCACAGAAAUAGCAUCAUAGAAUAUUCAUGUGUGUUAUAAAGGAAUUUCAAAGGAAUUUCACAGCUAGAAGAGCCAGAACACACACUCUCAGCUACCAUUGCACAUCUCCAAGCCCAAAUCAAAAGACAGCUAAUCUGUGACAUACAUUUUUCUUAGUCUAGGGAGCAGAGCAUUGGAGGGCAGCAUAGCCUGCAAAGCCAUGGACUGUUCUGGCUUCUAAUUGUAUGACACCCGUUUACCCAGAGUCAGGCAUUCUGUCUUAUUAAACCCUGGUACAAAACCAUGAAAAACCCACCUGUUUAGAGCAGAAUGUUAAACAUAACAUUAAUGGAAUGACCUAUUGUAUGAAGAGCACCUUAUGGGAUUUUAUGACCUUUGUAAAAAGUUUUUCUUCUCCCUCUCCAAGCUGUAAGAGCACCCCUCUGGAGCCUUCCACUAAACAGCUCCAUUUAGAAGUUGUCUAUAGGCACAGAAAUACCGUGUUCUAACUAUAUACAUGAGGGAGAAUGUGAACAGAACCCAAAGGUAACUUCCACAUACUGCUUGUGGGGCUGACUUCAUCUUUAUGCAGCAUGGGAGAUUCAGAAAAACAUUCUUAUAGGGCCAGAACAAGUAAACUCAGAAUGGAUCAAUAUUUUGGACACUGUGCAUAAGGCAGACAAAUAAGCGUCAUAAAUCUCACUAAACAUGAACUUUCUUACUAAUCAUAAAUAAAUAAAUAAAACCGAUCAACAAGAUAAAACCAAGGAAAUCUAAAACGUCACUUAACAUUUCUUUAAAUCUCAGAACAAGUGACUUCCACCACUCUUUGUUUUGGUGCAGUGAAGAGAAGGUAAUAAGAAAGAAUGAACAAUGGACAGGUGUUUCUUUAGCUUUCAGGGUCUGUGGAGAUCACCACCAGUCUGCUUGUCUACGUAACAUAUUAUGAAGACUUGUGUCUUAGUCGAGUAACUACACUGGCCAUGAAGAGUCACAAUUCAACUCUACCUCAACCAUCAACCGGUGGUUUUCUAUACAAGACAGCUCCCACAAGAACACAGCUUUUCUGUGGUGUUUCACAGGGGUGCCUCCAUGUCAACUCUAUACAAGUCAUUCUCUUGUCAUAGUGUACUAUAUAUGGUGUCGGGUCCCAUUCUGAUGCACUCUCCAUUGGAUAAUGCUGGAUAUGAACUUGACCCCAGAUGUGAAACACCCUACCACAUAGUCAGGGAGAAAAACUUGGAUGUGAAGAAGGAAGCAGGCAGGGGAGCAAUAGGGAGAGGGCCGAACGCCAACAAAGUUAACAAUGACACCAGUAACAACACUCAAAAUGACAAUGGUCAGAAUCAAUGAGUCCAGGACAAGAAUGUACAGUCAGCGAGCGAUUGAAGGAAAUACCCCAACAAUCUCCCUCUCCUGUACAAACCUCUCAAAAGACCCCAUCCAGGCCACCCCCAAACCUUCAACGUGAGGACGACUGGGUUACGGUGCCGUGUGGGGAAAUGCAGCAUGUUCACCUGAACACAGCAGUAAUGUGUGGAGCAACAGGACAGAGCAGAGGGAGGCCACUAGAGAUCAGAGAAAGGAUUGGCACUACGAGGACAAAAAUGCAUUUUCACACUUGCCAUCAGGCAUUUGGGUACUAAAGGUUUCUAAGUGCCUUUCUGGUCAUUUGCCUAGUUACAUCUGUGGGGGAGUGUCUACCCAACCAGCUAAACAAGUGCAUUCUGCUAGUUGAUAAAGCAUUUUAACCCCCAAAAAGUGGGCUUCCAAACUGCCUAUGAACUUGGCUAUACAGUUUGUUCCACUUCAGAUUGUACUGUACACAUCCAACUGAACAUGACUAUAAGGUUUGUUCCAAUUGCGAUUGUACUGUAUAAAUCCAGUUGCUCAUCAUUUAUGAUUCUAGGUCCUUACAAGCAGUACAACUUACAGCAAUGACUACAACCUAUUCAAUAAUGGCUUAUGAGCAGAAGCCAACCAUAAAACAUUGAUUCCAGGUGUAACAAACAGCAGCUAUGUUCUGGGGAGAGCUGGUUUUGGUGGAGCUAGUUAACGAUGCUAAAGAUAAUACUGACACAGUAAGGCCUGGAAGUUAAUCCUCGUUCCCAGUCCCAAAUCAAGCCCUUAAACCCAGCCCUAGUUCUUACACUGACCUAGACUCCCCAGAGAUCAUGUGGGUAGAAGCUAACAGUCCUUUUAGAGGGCUAGACAUGGGCCUGUGUUGUGGGUAGAAGCCAGAUAGAGGAGCAGCUUUCAGCCAGCGUUAUCUUUUGCGAAUAAUAGUGCAAAACAAAUAUCACAAUCACUUUGCAUGGCUACGGUCUGCCACCUGAAAAGCCACUUGAAUCUAUAGGAUCUUCAUGACUAUGCAUUUCUGCAUGCAAUAAACGUGUGUGUGUGUGUGUGUGUGGGUACGUAGUGUGCAGGACUGUGAUUAGUUUAAAGUGAAUUUGCAUCAAGCCUAUCCAAGGGUUUCAUUCAUCAAACGUGUCAAUGUACAAGACUGGAUAUAACAAAACUACAAAGGUUGGUAGUUAUCAAUAUUGGAAAUUAGGGGAAAGUUGGGCCAUUUCUGUGCAGAAGUCAGACCAUGCGUAUGGACAAAAGGUAGUGGCUGAUCAUUAUUCAACUGUAUUGCGAGAAACUAUAACUAUUUGGGGGCAAAUGUAAAUGUUUGAUGCAAUGGACCUAUACUUCCAGUCAACUAUAAAACAUUAAAACAUAGACCUAAUGACAGAACAGAUAACCAAAACCAUAGUAGCACAUAG